rnacentral:rRNA from 1 species
UACGUAGGGGGCAAGCGUUGUCCGGAAUCAUUGGGCGUAAAGGGCGUGUAGGCGGUUUGUUAAGUCAUGUGUGAAAGCCCCCGGCUCAACCGGGGAACGACGCAUGAAACUGGCAAGCUAGAGUACCGAAGAGGGGGGUGGAAUUCCCGGUGUAGCGGUGGAAUGCGCAGAUAUCAGGAGGAACACCCAUAGCGAAGGCAGCUUGCUGGGACGUUACUGACGCUAAGGCGCGAAAGCGUGGGGAGCGAACAGG